AAUAGAUUUUGUUAGAGAUAUCUUCUCCAAGGUUUACAGUUUGGCUAGAUUUGGAGAACUUGUGACAAGUAUUCAUGAGUUCAUUUUUUUUUAUGUGUGAGUCAGCAACUCAUGUGAAGACUAAUAAUAAUGGGUUUUUUUCCUUUUGUUAUUAAAUGGGGUCUUAUGAUUUUGGUACUUCUUUCAAUGUGCCUUAGCUGCUGUACUACUGUUUUAAAAAGCUGUUACUUAGUGAAAAUUAUGUUCACUCAAACUGUGGAUCAUAACCAAGUUAAAAAGGAAAUGGAUCUCAUUUUGGGGUGAGAAAUCCCUGUAAUGUGCCUCUCCUUGACUAACACAGUGUUUUAUGGAAUGUGAACUAUAUGUUUUUGAUUUUUUUUAAUUUAUUAUUGUUUCCCUUGUAUGUGCAAUAGAAUAUUUGAGUUUCAUUUUUUCUCACAGUUUUGUACUUGAAGCAUAUGCAACCAGAUUCAUGUUUUUUGUUGUUUUUGUUUUUGUUUUUUAUAUUUUGUACUAGGAUAAGUUUAAAAUGUUCAUUAGCCCUAAUGUCAAUGCAUACCCAAAAGCUUUAGACUUUGGAAACCUACCACUGAUUCUUAAAUAUUAUGGGAUUUUCAUUAAUGAUUGUGUCUGAUUCCAGGAAAAGGGAUAAUGAAAGAGCCACUGCAUAGUGCCAAGGAGCACAAGGUCAAGAAGACCAACCAAUCCUGAUGGGAUUGAUGAGAUUAUGCACCAAGAGAGGGGACCUGAACUUAUUUUGGGGUUCAAGGAAGCAGCUAUUUGCAAAGUCAGGCAUUGGAUAUCCUUGUGCCAGAUCCUGACUUCUACCAAGUACCUCAGUUUGGCUGCCAUUUUGGCUCUCCUAUUUCUGAAAGCAAAGCUACUACCUUGGGUCAGUAAAUGAAGCAGAGGGAGCAGCACAACCUUUCUCCAUCAUUGAUUUGUGAACUUCAAAAGGCCUGAAGGUAUGGAAUUCUCAUUGGCAUUAGGGUUUAAUUGUUCAAUGAGACAGAGCACUAAAUUUGCACUUAGAAAUGUCUGAUUUUGAAUCCUGCCUUUGACACUAUCUGGGCAACCUUGGACAAGUCAAAUAACUUCAAAGUUCGUGAUGAGUUUCCUCAACUAUAAAAGAGAAGUAAUAAUAACCCCUAGUUCACAUGGCU
rnacentral:lncRNA from 1 species